UACGUAGGGGGCUAGCGUUGUCCGGAAUCAUUGGGCGUAAAGCGCGUGUAGGCGGCCCGAUAAGUCCGCUGUGAAAGUCCAGGGCUCAACCCUGGGAUGCCGGUGGAUACUGUCGGGCUCGAGUCCGGAAGAGGCGAGUGGAAUUCCUGGUGUAGCGGUGAAAUGCGCAGAUAUCAGGAGGAACACCAAUGGCGAAGGCAAUGUUCUGGCUCGUUUCUGACGCUCAGGUGCGAAAGCCAGGGGAGCGAACGGG
rnacentral:rRNA from 1 species